rfam:Cephalotus follicularis DNA, scaffold: scaffold1701, isolate: St1.
ACGACAUGAUGGGGACAUUUUUUUGAUGAGAUCCUUUAAUCGUUCCCAUGAUUCAUGGAACUGCUCACCAUCUUGUUGCGAGAAGCUAGUGAGAGCUCAUCUUAUCUG